AUUGAACGCUGGCGGCAUGCUUUACACAUGCAAGUCGAACGGUAACAGGCCGCAAGGUGCUGACGAGUGGCGAACGGGUGAGUAAUGCAUCGGAACGUGCCCAGUCGUGGGGGAUAACGCAGCGAAAGCUGUGCUAAUACCGCAUACGAUCUAUGGAUGAAGGCGGGGGACCGUAAGGCCUCGCGCGAUUGGAGCGGCCGAUGUCAGAUUAGGUAGUUGGUGGGGUAAAGGCCUACCAAGCCAACGAUCUGUAGCUGGUCUGAGAGGACGACCAGCACAACGGGGACUGAGACGCGGCCCAGAGUCCUACGGGGGGGAGCAGUGGGGAAUUUUGAACAAUGGGCGCAAGCCUGAUCCAGCAAUGCCGCGUGCAGGAAAAAGGCCUUCGGGUUGUAAACUGCUUUUGUACGGAACGAAACGGUCUGGAUUAAUACCCUGGGCUAAUGACGGUACCGUAAGAAUAAGCACCGGCUAACUACGUGCCAGCCGCCGCGGUAAUAC
rnacentral:rRNA from 1 species